rnacentral:rRNA from 1 species
UCAAAUGAAUUAAGGCUUACGGCGGAGACCUAGGCACCCAGAGACGAAGAAGGGCGCAGAUACCGGCGAUACGCUUCGGGGAGCUGGUAACAAGCUUUGAUCCGAAGAUUCCCGAAUAGGGCAACCUCAAGAACUUCCUACAAAUUCAUAAGUAGGAUAGAGACAACCCGGUGAAUUGAAACAUCUUAGUAGCUGGAGGAAAAGAAAGCAAACGCGAUUCCCGUAGUAGCGGCGAGCGAACCGGGAUUAGCCUAAACCUGUAAAAAGGGGUAGUGGGAAG